CAGUAAUGAUGACAAACUUAGGACACCUAUGAAUAUCUUCGUGAUUUCAAACCGCAAUCCGACUCUGAACUGA
rnacentral:snoRNA from 1 species